UAAAAUGUAAAUGAAUGUUUGUGUAUGUAUCUGAUUGACAUAUGUUCGAUAUCUCACGCUCUUCGUGCCAGGUACCGCAAAUCUCUACCUAUUGACGCAAACAAAAUCUGCAAAUUUAAGGCCUUAUUCAUCUAAUUCUUGGUUACGCUCUUAAUUCAAAACAUGUCUUUAACUAUCAAAUUUGCUAUAUUUUUCUCCUUUUGCUUAAUUGCAAACGCCUAUCCAGGAAAUCCGUUUCGUAAGGAAAAUGACAGCUGUAGACCAAAUAAUCAAUGCCAAGCAGUUGGACAAGUUUGUUGCUGGGAAUUGGAUCAAUCCAUUGGAUGCUGUGAAAAAAACUUUAAAUGCUGCCCUUCGCUUAGUGGAGAUCGUCACAAUUGCUGUCCGGUAAAAGAGUCCGAAUGCAACAACAAUAAUGGAGCGUCUUGCUAUCUUUUGAAAACAGUUUUAAAGAAAACUGGAAAAACUUCAGUAAAAGAGGAUUGAUUUUAAAACAAAAAGUCUAAUAGAAAAAAAGAGAGAGAGAGGCCAUGGCUUGAUUUUUAUCUAAAAUAGAAUAAAAAAGAUUGAACAAGACUCUACAGAUAUUUCUAUCCCGUCUCUCUCUCUCUCUCUCUCCCUCUCUGUCUCCCUCUUUUGAUUGCUAACAUAUGUGAGGGGUACACUCAUUUAUUUGCUGUACUCUCCUUCAUCGUAAUUUUUCUACUCUUACUCCUACUCCUACUCCUGCACAACAACUAAUUUUUACUUAAACUAUCUUUUUAUUCUCUUAAAAAAGAGAUAGAAAACAGUUAAAGGAAGAAAUAAAUGAUCAAGUUUUCUAUUCCUUUUUUGACUGAAUGAAAUACAAAAGUUUCGAUUGGUAGAAGGUCUUUAGGCCUCAUUUAAAUAUCAGUUUAUAUAUAUAUUAUAUAUAAAUAAUAAAAAUAUAGCUUUAAUUUUAUCUUUAAUCUUAUUUUUAAAAUAUUUUUUAUAUCUAAAUAAAAGAACCGAGUCUUUUGAUUUGUUCAUUUUUCUCUAUCUUUCCUCUCUCUCUCUCUCUCUCUAUCUCUCGUCUUGAGCUCUUUCAAAUUCAACUUUCUAUCAAGUUUAUAUGCUAUCUAUAUUUUAAGUAUCCGCAUUAAAAACAAGAAGCUAAAAAAACAGGUUAUGCAAUCUUUUCGUCCUAUUCCUCCUACUUGUCUUAGUCAUUCCUAAUCCAAUCUAUGUUACCAUGACAAAGAGUCGGCCUAGGAUAAAACUGAACUGAAAUAUAGAUGCCUAGAAAUUAUAGUUCAAUAGUAAAAUCUGACGAAAAGAAAGAGAAGUGUAACAAGCGGGAUAGACAAUGAUCUAUGGAGAUAAAAGAUGGCUCUUUGAUACAUUCUCUCCAAGACUAUAAAUAGGUAUGUAUCAUACGGUAUGUAUGUAUAUUUAUUUGGCUUGUUGAUAUAGUAAAAACUAAACGGGAGCGCAAAGUGGAAACUUUAACUGCGUCGCCUAGUCGUUAAGUGAUAAAAAUAGCAGAUGUCGCAUUACAUGUACCUAAUUUUUGUACGCUUUUUUUUCCAAAUAUACAUCAUUUUGACCCAGAUUUUAAAUAUGAAUAAAUUCUGAUGUAACGAUGAUAGCUAUCUUAUUAUUUCCUCAACUCUUAUUCUGGAAACUAGUUCUUCCGAUUUCCCUUUCUUUUUCUUUGCAUUUAGAGAAAUCCAGCUAAUAAAAUGUUUUCAAAAGCAAUCCUACUGUUCUUUUUACUCUUUUGCUUCUUCUUCUCUCUUCACCAAGCAAGGAUGAUUAGCAAUUUACAAGAAACCACUCCACAAUUUGGUAAUUGCAGGUAAGCGUGAACAGCUUGAAUGAAUGAACGAUUCAGACAAUUAAUUGAACGAAAUUGAUAAAUAUAAGAUAGAACCAAUUGUAAAUCCAUUUUUGGAUUAAAAUACUCUUUUCCCCUCGGCUAUUCCCUAUUAUAGACCAGACAACACUUGCUCGAUACAAGGUGAAAUUUGCUGUUGGGAAAGCAAUACAGUUAGCGGUUGUUGUGAAACCGGAUAUAAAUGUUGCCCCUCCCAAUCAGGAAGUGCGCACGAUUGUUGCCCAGAAAGUGAUGAAACUUGUCAAGGAUCGCAAUGCUAUUUGGCCAAAGUUUAUAAAAAUUACAAUUAAUAAAGGAUAAGAAAAAGGGAAGAGAAGAUAAGGAAGAAAAUGAAGAAGAAGAAGAAGAAAAACAGCAAUAAUAUUUAAAACCAAACCAAAUAAAAUAUGAUGAUAAUUUUAGAAUUGGAAUUUUAUUGAUUUUUAAGGAUUUUCUCUCUUUCCUCUCCUCUUUUUCUCUUCUCUCUUUUAUUUGUUUUACAUUUUUCACAUCAAUACGCUUUUUCAUUAAAAUAAAUACAAUUUAGUUAAAUAAAACAAUCCUUCAGUCUUCGCCUAUCCAUCUAUUUAAGUGAUUUUGAUAUCUUCUUUAUCAUCUUCAUUCUUCUUUCAUAUUAAUGGAGGAAGGGAGAGGGAAUAAAUCAAAGUAAUCUUAUUAAAUAUGAACGCUUGGAAGGGAAAAACAAAUAUUCAACAGAUGGUAAAGAAUAAAUUAAACUAGUGGGUGUGUUCAGGGCAG
rnacentral:misc_RNA from 1 species